rnacentral:rRNA from 1 species
UACGUAGGGUGCAAGCGUUGUCCGGAAUUAUUGGGCGUAAAGAGCUCGUAGGCGGUUUGUCGCGUCUGCUGUGAAAACUCGGGGCUUAACCCCGGGCCUGCAGUGGGUACGGGCAGACUAGAGUGCGGUAGGGGAGACUGGAGUUCCUGGUGUAGCGGUGAAAUGCGCAGAUAUCGGGAGGAACACCGGUGGCGAAGGCGGUUCUCUGGGCCUUACCUGACGCUGAGGAGCGAAAGCGUGGGGAGCGAACAGG